rnacentral:rRNA from 1 species
CCCUUAGAUGUCCUGGGCUGCACGCGCGCUACACUGACGAACUCAACGAGCUUAUCACCUUGGCAGAGAUGUCUGGGUAAUCUUUUGAAAGUUCGUCGUGCUGGGGAUAGAUGAUUGUAAUUAUUCGUCUUGAACGAGGAAUUCCUAGUAAGUGUGAGUCAUCAGCUCGCGCUGAUUACGUCCCUGCCCUUUGUACACACCGCCCGUCGCUACUACUGAUUGGGUGUUCAAGUGAGAUGCUUAGACCCUUGUUGCAUGGUUCAUUAUUGUGCUCCGAAAGGAAAAAGUUUCAAGCUUGAGUGUCUAGAGGAAGUAAAAGUCGUAACA